CCACUUUGGUGUAGAUUAUGAAGACAUGUAUUGACAAACAUCAUAUGACGUGUCGUGUUAGAAAUAUAAUAAUAAAGAAUUGUGAUUCGUAAACUGAAAGUUACAAUGGUUCUAAGUUCACACCCACUUAUGUGCUAGCUGCCAUUGGUCAACAUUUCCCAGCUGAUGCUUUUAAAAGCAACGAUCAAAGUUGGCAAGAAAAAUGGUGUUUUUAUUCGACACGGUGAUGUGAGCUGCGACACCAAAUUGAUUGAUUGAAGGAACGUAAAACAUAGAGCUGAUAAAGAUGAGUUGGUUCGAUACCACGGGCAUAGCUAAUUUGGCGAAAAAUGCCCUCAAAGAGGCACAGAAGCAAAUCGAUAAAGCGCUGGAUAUCAAAGAUGAGGAAGAAACGACCAUCGUCAGUGUUUCUAGCGUUGGUGUUGAAACCAGUGGUGGCGAAAAGUUAGUAAAUAGCUCAAUGCACUCUGUCGUUUCUAUACACCCUACGGCCGAACGCACGAAUGUGUUGCAGCCCAGCUCCGUUGAUUUAGAUGCGGAUGGAGGCGAAGGCACAUCGCUAGAACAAUCAACUGCAAAGUCUAGCAACGCCAUUAAAACCCCAUCAAAUCUGCGACACGCGAGUGUUAAAGCUGCUGAGAAAAGAAAUGAUUCCACUUCUUCGACAACAGAAGCAGACAGCUCAUCAGCUGCUGUCCCAAUCAUCACGUCACCUAGUCAACCAUCUCCUUUGGCGAGUAAUGUGCAGGAUGGCAAAGGAGCAGAAUCGGUCGAACUAAUCGAUACGACACGAACAUCAACAAGUUCUAGCACGGAAUCGCCAGUUAUUGUUGAUCAUAGUACACGUUUCGAUGCGCACCAAGGGCAACAGUACACCGGCGUAAAAGAGCAUCCUGACAGGAACGAGGAAUACGUCAGUGUGGAGAGUGAUACUGUUUCGUACAUAUUGUCCGAGCAACCAAAUACUGUCCCGGAAACGUGUGUAAACUCGCCUCCCAUUACUGUUGCACCUGGCCGUAGCUCCUAUCGGUUUUCUAUUCCCACCGAUCCGUCGAUGAACGUCGUUGGUGUUGCUAGUCCAACCAUAGAAACAUUAAGCGAAAAGUGCGAAGAGCCGCAAUCCAAAGAAAGUUUCGACAAGGAUCCGAACAAUCGAGCCGGCGAUCCAGUGCAGCAAGUCUCAAAAGAAUUGUCCGAUGCGUUGCCAUCACAGCGAUUUUUAACUUCAAAGCAAGAACUGGAAAACAGCUAUGAGAAUCUCGAAUUUCAAGCACAACUAACUGACCUUACCCACAGCUUUGAGGACCUAAAGUCUUGCGGCAGUGCUGCUGGUAGCCAUUUCCCGAGCACCGCUUCGAGUGAACAGUUUGAAACAACGGACAAACUUUCGGAUGCCGCCUUUGAGACACUCGGUGGUCUUGGGGCGGGGCAGAAUUUGUUUCAGAGUUUAGGCGAGGAUGAAAUUGAGACGACGACGUCGUCCGAUAUAGAAAUUAUUUCCAGCCCAAACGGAGGCGAUUCUAGCAGCACCAACAGUGGCAUCUACCGCACAAGUCCACUCAAAAUGUCCACUGCAAAGGGUGAAAAUUUUGAUAUGAUGCUAAUCAAAAGGCGCCGCGGCCACACGCGAGAACCGUCGGAAAUUUCGAUCAACAGCGGCAACAGUGACGAUUCUAGCCAUCUGCCCGAAACCGAACAGCUGAUGCGACGGCUGGAAGAGGUGUCAGAGACGCUGGAGCAGCGGGAAUACCGGCUGGUAGAACUUGGGCGCCAGAAUGCGGAGCUAAACGAACAAAACGCACAGCUGACUGCGCAGCUUGAGAGCAAAGCGAAACGGGAGGGUGGAUCUGAUCUGGACGGGUACAUGCAACGUUUAUCUGCCCUGGAGCGCAAGUUUCAGCAGUCUAUUCGGGAAAAGGAAAAUCUGAAGAGUAAAUUUGAUGCACUGCGAAUGGAAGCGGACAAAAAGGUCGCCAAGUGCGAUAUGGAUAAAGCAGUGAGCGAAAGAGAUUUUAUGAUCAACGAGCUGCAAAAGGAGGGGGAAAGCCUAUCCAAGCAAGUCUUGCAGCAUUCUAAUAUUAUUAAAAAAUUACGUGCAAAGGAAAAAGAAUCUAGCGCACUGAUUAGCAAGCAAUGUGAUGAAAUAAGCGAACUGACGCAAGAGACCGAACGGCUCAAACGAUCGUUAUCGGCAAAGGAGGAAGUAGAGCGUUCGCAAAUUGAUGCUGUGCACAAGCUGACGUCUGAAAAGGGCAAGCUGGAACGCGAGCGCGCGAUGCUAGAUGAUAAAUUGAAUGAUCAGAUACAGAAGAGUGAAGCGAUGCGCAAGUCGUUGGAGUUUGUGCGCAACGAACUGAACGAAAAAUCAGAGCUGUGCCACGAUUUACAGAAACGGUUGGACAAGCUACAAAACUGCAAAACUGACUCCCAAACGUUUCAGAAAACUAAUGAAGUGCUCAUGCUACAGCUAGAAGAUCUGCGUGAGCAACUGCGCCGAACCGAACAGGACUACGGACAACGACUGAAUCGGGCGAAAAAUGAGCAUGCGGAAGUGUUACGCAAACUAGAAGCUGCCGAACUGCGCACGGAGGAAGAAAAAAAUGCUUCCGCCCUGCUCACAAUGCCGCUGAUGAAACAGCUUGAUUCAUUGCAAAACUUGCUGCGGCACAAAGAACGUUUGGGCGAACAACGGGAUGCUUCAUUUGCCCAGCAGCUGUCCGAAGCUUUAGAGCGUAUCAAAUUAAUUUCCGACAAAGAGAAAACACAGCGAGAUAUUAUUAUCACCAUGCAAAAUCGCAUCACUAAUUUGGAGGAACGUCUGCAAGCUGCGCUGCUUCAAACCAAAGAAGCUGUAGCCAGAUUAAAACAGCAGACUCUUGAGGCCGAACGACGUCUUGAAGAUUGCAACAAGCAUGAGGGUAAAGAAGAGAGCUUGGAAAAGAAAGCCGCACCUACUAUCGAACAUGCUCACGAAAACGAAGCACAGUUAGAUGGUGCUGAUAAAAUACCCCCUACAAAGCAAACAGCCACAAUAGAAGCCAACGAGAGUGAUCCGAAUAUUGAUAGCUCAAUCCAACAGUUUGGAAUGGAUAUGCAUCCUGUAGAAGCCUCUUCUGUUACUAGUAUUGGAAAUCUAUCUCUUCCGGAUUCAUUAAAUAGCAUUCCAUGGACUACUCCCGAGGACGAUGCAGUUUCCCUAGGAAAGGUUGAGCCUUUCAACGAUGGAAUAGUGGAUGUGGGAUAUAAUUUACCUAAUUUGUUCAACACGACAUCACAUCUUGAGACCUUGCAAGCUACACUUAAGCAACGUGAUGGCGAGAUCUGUCAGCUUCAAUGGGAAGUCUCUCGGUUUCAGCAGGAACGUAAUGUGCUAAGUGCGGAAAUAUCAAAUCUUACCAUCGAACUAGAUAAUGUUCGGGAACGUUUUGAAUGCAGUAUUCGAUUAGAGGAGGAACACACAGAAUUGCAGAACCGCUAUGAUGCUCUUUUGCAAAUGUAUGGUGAGGCGGUGGAAAAAACCGAAGAAUUGCAGCUGGAUUUAGCGGACGUGAAGGAUAUGUACAAAAUACAAAUUGAUGAUCUGCUUCAACGCCAGCGUGAGCUUAUUGCAUCCAUGAGCCAUCAGUCAUCACUACUUUCAUCCUCUAGGAAUAAUUGUUGAACUAUUUUUGAAUUGUUAAUAAUAUAUGAGCUAUUUUAAUCGCGGUCGAUUGAUAACAACAAUCAUAACUGUGAGAUAAUUAACAGCAGUGGCAUCUGAAUUGAGACUAAAAGUUUGUAAAUUGUAUAGCUUAGUCAGGGUUUGCCUUCUAUCGAGUUAGUUUGCCUGUUAGUAGCGAACCAAUUUCCCAAUGAUUAGUUAGUAUGGACCGGAUGGCGGGCUGUAACCACAAUUCGCGGGAUUUCUACAAAUUGCAAGACGAUGCAGUACGAUGUUCGUAGGCUACAAUUAAUCAUACUUUUCACUGUUCCUGUUUUUAUCUAUCAACCUGUCACUGUGAUAUGUCUCUUUUUCCAGACGUACAAAGAAUGUUUCACUGAAUCCCUGAACAUGUGUGAUAAAUUCAGUAUCAGACUAAAUAUUUCAAUUGGCUCACCAUAUCAAGCAAGCCUCAGCAUAUCUUCUCUUUGUGGCAGUUAUUUCCGUAACUGAAUACCAUUUCACCCUUUUUCAUCAUCUCCAAUCAUCUGUUGAAAUCCCAAUUUCAGCAAUCGUUACUUUCCUGAUGUUCUUGUUUGGAUAAUGCAUCCAAAUAAAAGAUUGUUUUAAUGAGUGAAACAAAGAUAUAGAUUUACUCUUUCUUCCGUAUAAUUUAAAUUUCCCACUAAAAAGCUAAGGUGAUGUGAGCUUCUUAGUAACAUAUCUGACCUUCUUUCUUCCUCUUUGGCACAACAACCCAAGCGCCACAGAUUAAUCUUAAACGACUGGAAAAUCAAAUAUUCAUAGUCCUUUUCUUGCAAUGUGUUUCAAUAAGCUUAAUAAGCUUAAGACCUUUAUGGAUAUAUAUGGCUAACUUUCCGAGCAAAAAUUUAUACAAAUGGUCGUGCGGUCAGAUCACUUGCUUCAGUACAGAUGAUACACUUUGGAGCUUAAUAUUUAAACAACCAUAUUGCCUUUCUAGUUCUAGCGAUGCAUAACUUCAAUGCAAUACAACAGUAAAGAGAGAAUGAGAAAGCUCACAAAGCGAAGAAAGCUCCGUGUGGCUAUCCCAUCAGCAGAUGGCGUCACCAGCUUUUUGCUAUUUUUAGAAUGAAUUAGUCUGUUUACUGUCUGCUAAACGAAGGCUAAACGAACUCCGUUAAGGUUGAGAGCUUGAGCCGUUUAGGAACCGUUUAGUAGACGUUUAGUGGAAUUGUGGCACUAGGGAAAAUCGCAUGCGGCGCUUCUCUGACCAUUUCCUAACUCGAGGGGGUCGUAGCUUGGGGGACGCUUGUAUUUAUUUGUAUCAACCUGCCAAACCAUUACUAACUCACAAAUGAAAAGAAGAGAGUGUCUCCACUUAUCAUCUUUUUCCCCAGCUGCAGGUUGAGCAGAUUUGAGCGAAAAAAGAAAAAAAAAGUGUACCAGCUAAUGCCAUUUUGACAAAUUCUAACAGUAUAUGAGCAAAAGGGCGAUCCCAAGGACUGUGUAGGCACGAGGUAAAAUAGUAGCCAAAAUUGGAUUGGCUGUCUUGGAUGCCAUUUGACAGCAGAAAGUCCUGGAAAAGUUAGCAUACCCUCAAACAUUUACUAUUAUUACAGGCAUACAUACUCUUCCUGUAGAAUCCAAUUAACAAUUUUCAUGCCAUGACCAGGCCGAUUUAUCAUUUUAAUCACGAUUACAAUUUCAAUCGAAAAGGGCUCUUAGAUGUCAAACUGCCUGUAACGAACUUUUGCCUACUUGUCAAAUCGUUCUACAUUACGGGACCUCGUUGCUGCACAGUCCUUGGGCGAUCCAAAAGGCCGCCGUGUCGCUUCCCGUGACUGGUUGGGAAGGCAACUAGAUCGUACGGAUAAUUUUUGUUUGUUGGGUACGCAUCGCAUCUUUCUAUUCUAAAUUAACAUGCUUUCUCUUUUUGCUCAACGUAACAUAAAGCCCGGCAGAGCAGGACACCAUGUUGAUUUUCUGGCUUGGGUUUUUAUUUAGAAGACCUCGUUUUUCAUUUCAAUAAUCCGUUGAAUUCGAUUGACCGGCCACGGUUUGUUCGCUGAUUUCGAACCGUACGAAUUUACGGUUUUAUUGAUCGCGUUUAGCUCUCGGCGCCAUCUUUGGCAAUUGCUAUGUCAAACCCGCUGUAUAAUUUUCAAUACAUCCGCGAUUUUCAGAAAGGUAUUUCCGACGAAUGUCAAUUUGUUCUGUCCAACUCUACCUUCCGUCUGCAUAUACCUUGCCUAGUUUCCCGAAUAAUCGGCGAACUGCAAUGCCUUUUUGUAACGCAGUGUACAAACCGGGCCACUUUGCUGUAAGGCUUUGACGUUUAGCAAGUUCCUUCUCGCCUCGCACAAGCGUAUGCCUGAAAAUCGUUUAUGAAAACACACCAAUUACAUUGUUAAAGUUUCUCCCAUGCGAGCCGGAAACGCCGGGAUCGAAUAAGUUCCGGCAUGCGCCUAUCGCUGCAUUGAUUAUCGGCUACAGUCAGCUCGGUUGCGCUGAAUUUUUAGCAUCGCUUCGGCAUCGCCGUAGUGCGAAAGUAUAAUUAGAGCGGCUGCAUAAAGUUAAAACUAUUCCGGUGUUCAUCGUUUCUACAAAGCUACGUCUGCUGUGCAUGCUUGAUGCGCCACUAAAGUGUUCGGCUAAAUCUUCGGUCUCCUAUCACACAUCGAAGUUGUAGCGCCCCGUUCGGAAUCGGAAACAUCGCAAAAAGCAGCCAAACACGACGGGUGUGUUGUGUGUGAGUGUUUGAUUGCUCGUCACCGCCGAGGGCGCAACCGAUGUGUUUACGGACAGUUUAUGUCAAACUUUUUGGUUAAUGUGUACUGCAGCAGCGUGCGUGACUGAUUAACACACACAAAACACCAAAAAAACAAAACAAAAAAAAAGGAGUCAAG